UCAAGUAGUGCCAGACAGGUGUGU
rnacentral:piRNA from 1 species